rnacentral:rRNA from 1 species
ACUAAAUAGAUACCCUGGUAGUCCACGCCCUAAACGAUGUCUACUAGUUGUUGGUGGAGUAAAAUCCAUGAGUAAACGCAGCUAAACGCGUGAAGUAGACCGCCUGGGGAGUACGGUCGCAAGAUUAAAACUCAAAGGAAUUGACGGGGGCCCGCACAAGCGGUGGAUUAUGUGGAUUAAAUUCGAUGCAACGCGAAAAACCUUACCUGGCCUUGACAUGCCACUAACGAAGCAGAGAUGCAUUAGGUGCCCGUAAGGGAAAGUGGACACAGGUGCUGCAUGGCUGCCGUCAGCUCGUGUCGUGAGAUGUUGGGUUAAGUCCCGCAACGAGCGCAACCCUUGCCAUUAAUUGCCAUCAUUUAGUUGGGCACUUUAAUGGGACUGCCGGUGACAAACCGGAGGAAGGUGGGGAUGACGUCAAGUCCUCAUGGCCCUUAUGGCCAGGGCUUCACACGUAAUACAAUGGUCGGUACAGAGAGUUGCCAACCCGCGAGGGGUAGCUAAUCUCAGAAAGCCGAUCGUAGUCCGGAUUGUUCUCUGC